UACGUAGGGCGCAAGCGUUGUCCGGAAUUAUUGGGCGUAAAGAGCUCGUAGGCGGCUUGUCACGUCGGGUGUGAAAGCCCGGGGCUUAACCCCGGGUCUGCAUUCGAUACGGGCAGGCUAGAGUGUGGUAGGGGAGAUCGGAAUUCCUGGUGUAGCGGUGAAAUGCGCAGAUAUCAGGAGGAACACCCGUGGCGAAGGCGGCUUUCUAGGAUAUACCUGACACUGAGAAGCGACAGCUAGGGGAGCAAACAGG
rnacentral:rRNA from 1 species